rnacentral:rRNA from 1 species
CAAGAGCGUAUAUUAAAGUUGUUGCAGUUAAAAAGCUCGUAGUUGGAUUUCUGGUGCAAUGCGCCUGGCCCGCGACCGUUAGGUCUGUGAGUGCCGGUGCGCGUUUGCCAUCCUUCUAGAAAACGUUUCUACCCUUCACUGGGCCGGACUCGCGAUCUAGAUCUUUUACUUUGAAAAAAUUAGAGUGUUUAAAGCAGGCUUUUGCUGUGAAUACAUUAGCAUGGAAUAAUAAUCUAGGACUUCGGUUCUAUUUUGUUGGUUUCUAGUACUGAAGUAAUGAUUGAUAGGGAUAGUUGGGGGUGCUAGUAUUGGCCGGCCAGAGGUGAAAUUCUUGGAUUCGGUCAAGACUAACUUAUGCGAAAGCAUUCACCAAGGAUGUCUUCUUUAA